rnacentral:tRNA from 1 species
GCCUUCGUAGUGUAGUGGUCAGCCCGCUCGACGCGUAUUCGAGAGGUCCGUGGUUCGAGUCCCGGCGAGGGCA